rnacentral:rRNA from 1 species
GAUGAACGCUGGCGGCGUGCCUAAUACAUGCAAGUCGAGCGAACUGAUUAGAAGCUUGCUUCUAUGACGUUAGCGGCGGACGGGUGAGUAACACGUGGGCAACCUGCCUGUAAGACUGGGAUAACUUCGGGAAACCGAAGCUAAUACCGGAUAGGAUCUUCUCCUUCAUGGGAGAUGAUUGAAAGAUGGUUUCGGCUAUCACUUACAGAUGGGCCCGCGGUGCAUUAGCUAGUUGGUGGGGUAACGGCUCACCAAGGCAACGAUGCAUAGCCGACCUGAGAGGGUGAUCGGCCACACUGGGACUGAGACACGGCCCAGACUCCUACGGGAGGCAGCAGUAGGGAAUCUUCCGCAAUGGACGAAAGUCUGACGGAGCAACGCCGCGUGAGUGAUGAAGGCUUUCGGGUCGUAAAACUCUGUUGUUAGGGAAGAACAAGUAUGAGAGUAACUGCUCGUACCUUGACGGUACCUAACCAGAAAGCCACGGCUAACUACGUGCCAGCAGCCGCGGUAAUACGUAGGUGGCAAGCGUUAUCCGGAAUUAUUGGGCGUAAAGCGCGCGCAGGCGGUUUCUUAAGUCUGAUGUGAAAGCCCACGGCUCAACCGUGGAGGGUCAUUGGAAACUGGGGAACUUGAGUGCAGAAGAGAAAAGCGGAAUUCCACGUGUAGCGGUGAAAUGCGUAGAGAUGUGGAGGAACACCAGUGGCGAAGGCGGCUUUUUGGUCUGUAACUGACGCUGAGCGCGAAAGCGUGGGGAGCAAACAGGAUUAGAUACCCUGGUAGUCCACGCCGUAAACGAUGAGUGCUAAGUGUUAGAGGGUUUCCGCCCUUUAGUGCUGCAGCUAACGCAUUAAGCACUCCGCCUGGGGAGUACGGUCGCAAGACUGAAACUCAAGGAAUUGAGGGGGCCCGCACAAGCGGUGGAGCAUGUGGUUUAAUUCAAGCAACCGAAGAACCUUACCAGGUCUUGACAUCCUCUGACACUCUAGAGAUAGAAGCGUUCCCCUUGGGAACAAGGCAUGGGUUCGUCAGCU